UAGGGAAUCUUCCACAAUGGACGCAAGUCUGAUGGAGCAACGCCGCGUGAGUGAAGAAGGUUUUCGGAUCGUAAAGCUCUGUUGUUGGUGAAGAAGGAUAGAGGCAGUAACUGGUCUUUAUUUGACGGUAAUCAACCAGAAAGUCACGGCUAACUACGUGCCAGCAGCCGCGGUGAUACGUAGGUGGCAAGCGUUGUCCGGAUUUAUUGGGCGUAAAGCGAGCGCAGGCGGAAUGAUAAGUCUGAUGUGAAAGCCCACGGCUCAACCGUGGAACUGCAUCGGAAACUGUCAUUCUUGAGUGCAGAAGAGGAGAGUGGAAUUCCAUGUGUAGCGGUGGAAUGCGUAGAUAUAUGGAAGAACACCAGUGGCGAAGGCGGCUCUCUGGUCUGCAACUGACGCUGAGGCUCGAAAGCAUGGGUAGCGAACAGG
rnacentral:rRNA from 1 species